rnacentral:rRNA from 1 species
UACGGAGGGUGCAAGCGUUAUCCGGAUUCACUGGGUUUAAAGGGUGCGUAGGAGGGCAGGUAAGUCAGUGGUGAAAUCCCCAAGCUUAACUUGGGAACUGCCGUUGAUACUAUCUGUCUUGAAUACCGUGGAGAUGAGCGGAAUAUGUCAUGUAGCGGUGAAAUGCUUAGAUAUGACAUAGAACACCAAUUGCGAAGGCAGCUCGUUACACGAAUAUUGACUCUGAGGCACGAAAGCGUGGGGAUCAAACAGG